UCGGAGCAGCACCAGUGCCCUGCACCA
rnacentral:piRNA from 1 species